GAAAUCAGUUCAGCACUAAGUCACUUUGUCUAUAUGGCAAAUGUGAGAUGCAGUGUAUGGAACAUCAAUAUUCUAGUAUGAGAAAUUAACGAUUUAAGUCCUUCUUAAAUGAGGCCAUUUACCCAUAGAGGGUGCCAGGCCCGUAUAACGUUAAUGAUUAUUAGAUGGUGUUUCCAAAGAGUCGUGUUGCUUGAUAGUGCAGCACUAAGUGGGUGGUAAACUCCAUCUAAAACUAAAUAUAACCAUGAGACCGAUAGUAAACAAGUACCGUGAGGGAAAGUUGAAAAGAACUCUGAAUAGAGAGUUAAAUAGUACGUGAAACUGCUUAGAGGUUAAGCCCGAUGAACCUGAAUAUCCGUUAUGGAAAAUUCAUCAUUAGAAUUGUGAUAUUUAAACAAUAUUAUAAUAAUAGUGUGCAUUUUUUCCAUAUAAGGACAUUGUAAUCUAUUAGUAACAAUAAUUUAUCAAAAAAUUUUAGAUAAGAGCUUAUUUAAAUUAAAAUGCUUGCGUUUUAACAUAAAAUGAAUGUCAUAAAUUUGAUAAAGUGCUGAUAGAUUUAUAUGAAUACAGUGUGUUAAUUUUUCGGAAUUAUAUAAUGGCAUAAUUAUCAUUGAUUUUUGUGUUUAUUAUAUGCACUUGUAUGAUAACAAUGCGAAAGA
rnacentral:rRNA from 1 species